rnacentral:rRNA from 1 species
GCGAGCGAUGGCGCUUAUGUCCACUACGACACUACAGCUGCAUGAGCAUAGAGUGAGACAAUGUGACAUCUUAUAGAAGUUAGCGGCGGACGGGUGAGUAACACGUGGGUAACCUGCCCAUAAGACUGGGAUAACUCCGGGAAACCGGGGCUAAUACCGGAUAACAUUUUGAACCGCAUGGUUCGAAAUUGAAAGGCGGCUUCGGCUGUCACUUAUGGAUGGACCCGCGUCGCAUUAGCUAGUUGGUGAGGUAACGGCUCACCAAGGCAACGAUGCGUAGCCGACCUGAGAGGGUGAUCGGCCACACUGGGACUGAGACACGGCCCAGACUCCUACGGGAGGCAGCAGUAGGGAAUCUUCCGCAAUGGACGAAAGUCUGACGGAGCAACGCCGCGUGAGUGAUGAAGGCUUUCGGGUCGUAAAACUCUGUUGUUAGGGAAGAACAAGUGCUAGUUGAAUAAGCUGGCACCUUGACGGUACCUAACCAGAAAGCCACGGCUAACUACGUGCCAGCAGCCGCGGUAAUACGUAGGUGGCAAGCGUUAUCCGGAAUUAUUGGGCGUAAAGCGCGCGCAGGUGGUUUCUUAAGUCUGAUGUGAAAGCCCACGGCUCAACCGUGGAGGGUCAUGGGAAACUGGGAGACUUGAGUGCAGAAGAGGAAAGUGGAAUCCAUGUGUAGCGGUGAAAUGCGUAGAGAUAUGGAGGAACACCAGUGGCGAAGGCGACUUUCUGGUCUGUACCUGACCCUGAGGCGCGAAAGCGU